GACUUUGAUCGGACAUGGUUCAGAGUGUUUUACAUCAUGAUAUCCGGGUGUAUCUUCGUGACCUCAACGUUUUAAGAACCUCUGUCGGUUUUGGGUGAUUUUUGGUGAGUCAUCGGUAUCUAGGGUUUUCGGUGGUUUUGACUUGCUGUUUUACCGUCUUCCGGUGGUCCGAUUCUCAUCUCGUGGAUGUUUGGGUACCUUUCCGACAUCGUUUCUCAUAUUUCCGGUGACCGACUCGACGUCUGAACCUAGGGUUUCAUACCUAGGGUUUUCACUAUCAUUUGAAGGCCGAUCUUCUUCCGGUAGCGAAGAAGGAGGGUAACUUUGUCUUAAAAUUCAAUAUUACCUGAUUUGUGUG
rnacentral:lncRNA from 1 species